AUACUCCGAGAACUGAAAGGCUUUUUGAAGUCUUCGGAUGGAUAGAAGAACCCCUGAUGCCGUCGAGCCAAGAAAAGUUUCUAAGUUUAGCUAAUGUUGCCCGUACCGUAAACCGACACAGGUGGGUGGGAUGAGUAUUCUAAGGCGCGUGGAAGAACUCUCUUUAAGGAACUCUGCAAAAUAGCACCGUAUCUUCGGUAUAAGGUGUGGUUAGCUUUGUAUUAGGAUUUACUCUGAAAGCAAGGAAACUUACAACAAAGAGUCCCUCCCGACUGUUUACCAAAAACACAGCACUCUGCUAACUCGUAAGAGGAUGUAUAGGGUGUGACGCCUGCCCGGUGCUCGAAGGUUAAUUGAUGGGGUUAGCAUUAGCGAAGCUCUUGAUCGAAGCCCGAGUAAACGGCGGCCGUAACUAUAACGGUCCUAAGGUAGCGAAAUUCCUUGUCGGUUAAAUACCGACCUGCAUGAAUGGCGUAACGAGAUGGGAGCUGUCUCAAAGAGGGAUCCAGUGAAAUUGUAGUGGAGGUGAAAAUUCCUCCUACCCGCGGCAAGACGGAAAGACCCCGUGGACCUUUACUACAGCUUGACACUGCUACUUGGAUAAGAAUGUGCAGGAUAGGUGGGAGGCUUUGAGUAUAUGACGCCAGUUGUAUAUGAGCCAUUGUUGAGAUACCACUCUUUCUUAUUUGGGUAGCUAACCAGCUUGAGUUAUCCUCAAGUGGGACAAUGUCUGGUGGGUAGUUUGACUGGGGCGGUCGCCUCCCAAAUAAUAACGGAGGCUUACAAAGGUUGGCUCAGAACGGUUGGAAAUCGUUCGUAGAGUAUAAAGGUAUAAGCCAGCUUAACUGCAAGACAUACAAGUCAAGCAGAGACGAAAGUCGGUCUUAGUGAUCCGGUGGUUCUGUGUGGAAGGGCCAUCGCUCAAAGGAUAAAAGGUACCCCGGGGAUAACAGGCUGAUCUCCCCCAAGAGCUCACAUCGACGGGGAGGUUUGGCACCUCGAUGUCGGCUCAUCGCAUCCUGGGGCUGGAGCAGGUCCCAAGGGUAUGGCUGUUCGCCAUUUAAAGCGGUACGCGAGCUGGGUUCAGAACGUCGUGAGACAGUUCGGUCCCUAUCUGCCGUGGGCGUAAGAAGAUUGAAGAGAUUUGACCCUAGUACGAGAGGACCGGGUUGAACAAACCACUGGUGUAGCUGUUGUUCUGCCAAGAGCAUCGCAGCGUAGCUAAGUUUGGAAAGGAUAAACGCUGAAAGCAUCUAAGCGUGAAGCCAACUCUAAGAUGAAUCUUCUCUAAGCUCUCUAGAAGACUACUAGUUUGAUAGGCUGGGUGUGUAAUGGAUGAAAGUCCUUUAGCUGACCAGUACUAAUAGAGCGUUUGGCUUAUCUUUAAUAAAGCAU
rnacentral:rRNA from 1 species